CAGUCGCCGCGGUAAUACGUAGGUGGCAAGCGUUGUCCGGAAUUAUUGGGCGUAAAGCGCGCGCAGGCGGAUAGGUCAGUCUGUCUUAAAAGUUCGGGGCUUAACCCCGUGAUGGGAUGGAAACUGCCAAUCUAGAGUAUCGGAGAGGAAAGUGGAAUUCCUAGUGUAGCGGUGAAAUGCGUAGAUAUUAGGAAGAACACCAGUGGCGAAGGCGACUUUCUGGACGAAAACUGACGCUGAGGCGCGAAAGCCAGGGGAGCGAACGGGAUUAGAUACCCGCGUAGUCCCUGUCUCUUAUACA
rnacentral:rRNA from 1 species